rnacentral:lncRNA from 1 species
CUUACACUGUGGUUGAGAAGGCAUAAAUAAUCACGUAUGCACGAUGUAAUGAUGUGUGAUCACUUAGCCACUACUGUGUCACAGCUACCACAUGUUUAGAAGACCAGCAGUGACCAUAGAAGAAAAAAGCACCAGUGGGUUAUUUGCAAACUGAAAUGUAAAGGCAGCUACACCUUGCUUUUCCAGAGGACUGCCUUGGCAAAAAUUUUAUAAGACUCCCAGACUGCAUUCUCAUCAGGAAUAAAAAGCACAUGAAUGAAACAUCUCGCAUCAUGUUCCAUUAAAAAAUGGGGAAGUUUAAACUGGCUGCAGUUUCAUCUAUUUCUUUUUUCAAAUGUAUCCUGAACACUAUGUGCCUAGUCAUUCAUCUGCUCAGGAAAAAAUAAAACUAAAUGGCAUCCCAGAAUAGCUCCAUAAAUUUCUGCAAUCCUGCCUCCAAAUAAGGCAUACCCAUGCCCCUGUGAGAAUGAACUUUUCUGCCAAGGGAAAAAAAUUAAAGUGAGGCCAAGGAAUGAGGUGGUGGAACAGAAAAGUAUAAUGAGAAUCACCUGAGUAUGAAUCUGAGCGAAGGCACUUGAUAUUACAAGACCAAAUUCUCCUGGAAAGCAGAUUCUGAGACUAGAGCUUUGUGCAAAUUGUGCAUUUGAGGAAAUGAUACCAAGAAUAGGAACAGAAGACUGGGAAAUCCUGAUUCACAGUGCAUUUAGACCACAACUCUGACCAACUGGGGCUCAACCCCAUUGAGAAAUGUUGAAGAGUCCUAUAGAAUAAGCUCCAGAAUCGUCUGCCCAAAUGAUGCUCUAACUCCUGUCUGCCGUUGGUUAAGCAUUGCCCUGGUGGUUCUAACCCUUUGGCAUUUCCAGGAUAUGCACACUUUCACUGUCCUGAGAUUAUUGCCCAAAGGGAGGAAGCAAGAAUUACAGAAUGCUUCUGAGGUUAGCACCAUCAUCUUAAACCUGUACAAAGCCAGACGCAUCAGAAAUGAACAGAGAAAAAAGUGAACAGAGGAUGAGACAAAGCCCAAGAGGUGGCUGGACUUAUUUCAAGUUCAUUUUCACUCAGCAAGGUGUUGUUGCCUUUUUGAAAGCCCUCCCUUCCAUAUGGGCCAGGUAGCAGGAAGAAUCAAGAGGUAGAAGAGCAUUGAAUGCCAAACCUCUGAGAAAGAGAAACAGGAUUUCAGGGUGACAUUUGGUAAACAAUUUCAGCAAAGUGGUUGGCAGAUGCAAAGACUUAUAUAUCAUUGAUUCCACUUUGUGUAACAGCCAAUCUAUUUUUGAAAAAGUACACGAUCACAUGAAGAUACUUUGUGGUCAAGAAAAAUCCUAAAAGCAAAUGCAGCCCUCAUGGGUAUUUGCACAAAAUUAUACAUCGAUUAAUUUUAAAAUAAGGUUUUCUACCAAAGGACCCGAGCAAAUGGAGAAAUUACCAUGAACUUGAUUACAUAAUGUAGAUGCUAGUGACUUAUCUAACAAAGAAGGAAAUGGCAGAGACUCCUGAGUUUAGACUCUCUCUGCAUGUUACAAAAUACAUAAUACUAUUGUAAAAGUCUCAGUCUGAAUACCAAGUUUUACUCUCUAUAUUUUGUCCCCUACUUCAUAUCUCCAAGUGGGGAUAUGGUGAAAAAAACACAAACAAUUUCCAUAUAAAAGGCCAAAGAGAAUGAAAGCGAGAAAUAUACAAGAAGAAGAGAAACACCAGAGAAGUAGAUGCAAGUAAAGGUCUCAAAAGUGAGACAGAAAAAAAAGAAAACUUGCUGCUUGUCCUUAAUCACAAGUGACUUAUUUAAAUAGACAAAAUGACAGGCUGACCUCCAUCUAUUUUAACUGCCAAAUCCUAUCAGCGGGGUGUGAUUACCGCCCAAGACCACCCUGGGGGGAGGGGGGUGAUUUUCAACCUGCCCUGAGAAUCCCUGACAUUCUUUCCUCCAUCCAGAAAUCCGGAAUUCUUCUAAGGAAACAUUUGUGGCCAUUAAACCAAUUGGAGUUGAACUCAUGUCCUAGAGGUUGACAGGACAAUUUAUGAAUGUGCUCUAUAACCAAGUCUGGAUUAAAAAAGAA